GAUGAACGCUGGCGGCGUGCCUAAUACAUGCAAGUCGAGCGAACGGACGAGAAGCUUGUUUUUCUGAUGUUAGCGGCGGACGGGGGAGUAACACGUGGAUAACCUACCUAUAAGACUGGGAUAACUUCGGGAAACCGGAGCUAAUACCGGAUAAUAUUUUGAACCGCAUGGUUCAAAAGUGAAUGGCGGUCUUGCUGUUACUUAUAGAUGGAUCCGCGCUGCCUUAGCUAGUUGGUAAGGUAACGGCUUACCAAGGCAACGAUGCGUAGCCGACCUGAGAGGGUGAUCGGCCACACUGGAACUGAGACACGGUCCAGACUCCUACGGGAGGCAGCAGUAGGGAAUCUUGCGCAAUGGGCGAAAGCCUGACGGAGCAACGCCGCGUGAGUGAUGAAGGUCUUCGGAUCGUAAAACUCUGUUAUUAGGGAAGAACAUAUGUGUAAGUAACUGUGCACAUCGUGACGGUACCUAAUCAGAAAGCCCCGGCUAACUACGUG
rnacentral:rRNA from 1 species